AGGAGAGUGGCUCAAUUGGUAGAGCAGCGGUCUCCAAAACCGCAGGUUGCAGGUUCGAGUCCUGUCUCUCCUG
rnacentral:tRNA from 1 species